GUGUUCAUAGAAAGGAGAGACACUUGGCAUCUCCCCUGGCAGGGACGAGAACAGCCUUCGAGCUUACCUGUUUCCACACAUACGGUUAAGGCUCCCCACCUGUGGUGGAUCUUAUACCCCAAUUUUUU